AUACUUACGUAAUCGCUAUGCAUUUAAAUAUGUGUAGAGGAAAGUCCAUGCUCACACAAACUGAGAUGUUUGUAGUGUUCGUGCCUGACGAAAUCAUAAGUCAGGGUAAUAACGGCAACAGAAAAUCCUAAGUCCUUGUAGAUACGGAUGAAUAUGUUUGAAAGUGCCACAGUGACGAAGCUGGUUUGGAAACAAAUCAGGUGGAACGAGGUAAACCCCGCGAGUGAGCAACCCAAAUAUUGGUAGGGGCAUUCUUGAUUAGGGAACUCAACCGAAAAAGAGACAAGCGUAUACUUGUAGAUAAAUGAUUACGACCCUGGUACGAGGUUGACUACCGUUUGUAGUACAAAGGUACAGAACAUGGCUUAUCAAG
rnacentral:RNase_P_RNA from 1 species